CCCUACUGCUAUUGGGAUGGGACUAAGACAUGCUAGUCGAGCGCCUUUGAGCUAUGGUGAAGGCGCGGCGUACAGCUCAGUAACACGUGGCUAACCUGCCCUUGGGACAGGAACAAUCCCGGGAAACUGGGGCUAAUUCCUGAUAGGUGAGUUCCUCUGGAAUGAGUUCUCGCUGAAAAGAAGUUUAGAACAUGCUUCUUUACUUUGCCCAAGGAUGGGGCCACGGCCGAUCAGGUUGUUGGUGAGGUAAUGGCUCACCAAGCCUUUGACCGGUACGGGCCGUGAGAGCGGAAGCCCGGAGAUGGGUGCUGAGACAAGAACCCAGGCCCUACGGGGCGCAGCAGUCGCGAAACCUCCGCAAUGCACGAAAGUGUGACGGGGCUAUCCCAAGUGCUGUCCGAUAAGGAUGGCUUUUCCCUAGUGUACAAAGCUGGGGGAAUAAGGAGAGGGCAAGACUGGUGUCAGCCGCCGCGGUAAUACCAGCUCUCCGAGUGGUGGGGACGUUUAUUGGGCCUAAAGCAUUCGUAGCUGGCUAGGUAAGUCCUUCGUUAAAUCCAACGAUUCAAUCGUUGGACUGCGGGAGAUACUGUUGGGCUAGGGGGCGGGAGAGGCCGACGGUAUUCUCGGGGUAGGGGUAAAAUCCUAUAAUCCCGGGAGGACCACCAGUGGCGAAGGCGGUCGGCUAGAACGCGCUCGACGGUGAGGGACGAAAGCUGGGGGAGCGAACCGGAUUAGAUACCCGGGUAGUCCCAGCUGUAAACGAUGCGGGCUAGGUGUUGGGGCGGCUACGGGCCGCUUCAGUGCCGCAGGGAAACCAUUAAGUCCGCCGCCUGGGGAGUACGGCCGCAAGGCUGAAACUUAAAGGAAUUGGCGGGGGAGCACCACAAGGCGUGAAGCUUGCGGUUU
rnacentral:rRNA from 1 species